rnacentral:rRNA from 1 species
AUUGAACGCUGGCGGCAGGCCUAACACAUGCAAGUCGAACGAGUGGCGGACGGGUGAGUAAUGUCGGGGAAACUGCCUGAUGGAGGGGGAUAACUACGGGAAACGGUAGCUAAUACCGCAUACCAUCAGAUGUGCCCAGAUGGGAUUAGCGUGUUGGUGGGGUAACGGCUCACCAAGGCGACGAUCCCUAGCUGGUCUGAGAGGAUGACCAGCCACCCGGGAACUGAGACACGGUCCAGCCUCCUACGUGAGGCAGCAGUGGGGAAUAUUGCACAAUGGGCGCAAGCCUGAUGCAGCCAUGCCGCGUGUAUGAAGAAGUCCUUCGGGUUGUAAAGUACUUUCAGCGGGGAGGCGUUACCCGCAGAAGAAGCACCGGCUAACUCCGUGCCAGCAGCCGCGGUAAUUC